GUAUCGACGCUGACUAAACACCGGAACAGAUUCUAUGAAGCCUUUAUGUGCGGUGGUGGAAAUCUUUCAGCCUCCUGAAAGAAUCACAGGCACCUUACAGCAAUCCAGUUAUUACAUAAACAGCGAUCUCAAGGGUAACUUUUUUUUCCCCCUGGACACCCAUGCUACACAAAGCGCCUGCCUUGCUGCCUCCUCCCCACUGCGGCGAAGCAAUCUCAUUGGAGGACUGCAAAAGUCACGGGUUGACAAUCAGGUCUACAGCAUGAAGGAUUCUAACUGUUGCUAAGGUACUUUGAAUGGUGAUUUGACCAUUACAUGAGUUCAUUUGCUAUCCAUCUUCAACCGCCGAAUGCUCAGAAAUGGUGUGAAACUUGGUCAGAGUGUGAAAUCCAGGGAUUACUCAGUUUCCCAUCAGUGGAGCCAGACAUCCUGCUCCGUCACAUGCUGUCUGGGGUGUCGACAGCUUCGGGGAACGUUUGUUAUUGAGAUUUGACCCACAUCGUGUCGGAUUCCUUCGUGUUCUGUUUCUUUAUUCUUUUCUUUUUUCUCUGCCAAGAUAAAUUUGGCAAAGACACAUGCUGCCUACAGGGGUGGCUUUUAUAAAGCGAGCUGAAAAAACAAACUAGGGUUCACUCUCAGUUCAGAGUUCACGAAGUCGAUUCCUUGCUGCAGAUCGGAGACAUAAACAGUGACUAGGUUUAUGUUUAAUUGCAUUUUGAUUUGGAGUUACACUUGUCAUUUUAAUACGCAGUGAAAGUUCUGU